rnacentral:tRNA from 1 species
GGGGAUAUGACUCAGUGGUAGAGUGCUUGCCUAGCAUGUAUGAGGUCCUCAUUCGAUCCCUAGCACCA